rnacentral:rRNA from 1 species
AAUACGGAAUGUGCAAACGUUAUUCGGAAUCACUGGGCUUAAAGAGUCCGUAGGCGGCAUGUUAGGUGAGGUGUGAAAUCCCCCGGCUCAACCGAGGAAUCGCGCUUCAAACCGGCGUGCUAGAGGAAGAUAGAGGUGGGCGGAACUGAUGGUGGAGCGGUGAAAUGCGUUGAUAUCAUCAGGAACACCGGAGGCGAAGGCGGCCCACUGGGUCUUUUCUGACGCUGAGGGGCGAAAGCUAGGGGAGCGAACGGGA